GACGAACGCUGGCGGCGUGCUUAACACAUGCAAGUCGAGCGGUAAGGCCCUUUCGGGGGUACACGAGCGGCGAACGGGUGAGUAACACGUGGGUGACCUGCCCUUAGCUCUGGGAUAAGCCUGGGAAACUGGGUCUAAUACCGGAUAUGACUCCAUGACGCAUGUUGUGGGGUGGAAAGCCUUGUGCGGCUAGGGAUGGGCCCGCGGCCUAUCAGCUUGUUGGCGGGGUGAUGGCCACCAAGGCGACGACGGGUAGCCGGCCUGAGAGGGCGACCGGCCACACUGGGACUGAGACACGGCCCAGACUCCUACGGGAGGCAGCAGUGGGGAAUCUUGCGCAAUGGGCGAAAGCCUGACGCAGCGACGCCGCGUGAGGGAUGACGGCCUCGG
rnacentral:rRNA from 1 species